rnacentral:lncRNA from 1 species
GAUCCUCUAAGAGCAAUCCAUGCCUUCUACUAACCCCAGCCUGUGUUGUUUCUGAGGGUUUUGUUGUAGCCCUACCAUUCUGUAGCUAAUCCCUCAUAUUUCUACACUGAUCUCAGCCAAAAAUCCCGAGGGAUCCCCACUACUCUUUACUGCCUUCUGUUAUGGGAUGAACUCAGGGUGUAUGUGUGUGUGGGCGCCUCUACUCUGGUUUAUAUACUUUUUGGACAGUGUCUUUCAUAGCCUGGGCUAGUUUUGAGCUCUCUCUAUGUAGCCAAGGCUGGCUUGAACUGCAGAGCCUAUUGCCUUCACUUCUUGAGAGUUGGAAUUACAGGCCUUGGUCCUUUUGCUUCCUUAAGCAGGGUGGAGGUUUUGGCUCCUUGUGGCCUGUCUGAGUCUGGCCUUUAGGUGUGAUGAGCUUUGCUGCUGUCAGGCUCAAGAAAGGCAUCUGUUUGCUAUUCUCUUGCUUUUUUUUAAAGACAUGGAAUGGGUAGGGAGCUUUGGGGGAAAGAGAAGCUUCACUCUUUGCAGUUGGCUCUGUGUGUGUGUGUGUGUGUGUGUGUGUGUGUGUGUGUGUGUGUGCUGACUCUCACAGACACUCCCUAGCUCUACACCCAUUACCAGUGACCACAGACAUUCACAUCCCACAAGCUGGAAGACUCAGAGGAGAAGCAGGGCGGGUGAGGAGCUAUGUAGGCAUUCUGCUUUGAAUACUUGUAUGCACAGAUUUAUCCUGGGUGCUGGGUGUAGCCACAGAGCUUCGUGCAGUGUGUUGCAAAAAGUAAAAAGGCCUUUCAAAAUACUUACAUUCUAAUGUGUAGUUUAAUAAAAUGGUCCAAAACCGAUUGCUCUUCCUACCCACCUAUCUCACUAGCUCAGCUAGAUGGAGAGUGUUGAAGGAUUUGUAGCCGAGGGCGCAGAGAUAGCUCAGCAGUUAAGAGCGAUUGUCAGUCGCUCUGAGUUUGUUUCCUGGCACCUGUGUUGGGCAGCUCACAGUCACCUAUCAGUCCUGUUCCACGAGAUCUGAGGUUUUCUUCUGGCCCUCUGGGGCAACUACAGAUACAUGGCAUAUGCUCACACAGACAUACAUGCAUACACAUAAAUGAAAACUGAAAACAUGAGGGGCCAGAGUGGCUUCAGAUCUUCCAGAUGAUCUAAGUUUGCUUUUCCAAGACCAACUUCAGGCAGCUCACAGCUCCAGUGGAGUGUGAUACAUAUGACUUCCUUGGGUGUGUAGACACAUGCACAUACUCUUACACAGACUUGCACAUACACUUAAUUAAAAUAAUAGAAGUAUUUUAAAAUAAAAUUAAAAAUGUUUAGAUUAGAACACACAUACACAUAGACAUACAUACACACACACACACACACACUUCUUGCAGAAGGCCGGAGUUCCAUUUCUAGCAUUCACAUCGGAUGGGUCAUAACUGCCUGUAACCGGAGUUCUAGGUGAUCUGACGGCCAUAGGCACCUGUGCCCACAUGCACAUAAAGGCUCGGGUACACAGCAGCAUGUAUACAGAAAUUAAAGGACAGGACAUCUCAAGAUUUGUAGCUGAAGUUGUGCUGAGAGGUUUUUGGUAGGGCUUUGGUAUUGGCUUGUCUUUUCGUUCUCUGCUCUUAGCUGCUCCGUGUAGUUAACUGAAGUGCAGGACUCAGGUACAAAUUGGAAUGGGAAGGAAGAAUGUUAAGAUGGAGGAAGGUCCUGAGGACUCAACUCUGGAGGCCAUUGCUUUCCAAAGGCAGGGGAGAGUGGAAGUAGGGAGCGUGUAUCAAAAUAAUGGUGUUCAAUUAAGCGGCAUGGAGCCCUGGUAAAGGUCUGAAGUUUUAAUACAGAGUUACAAAAAGAGCAAAUAGGAAACUUUAGCGUGGUAACACCUGUUAGAAAAGUUGCAAGGAGCCUUGAAGUGUUGCUGGCUGUGAUGGUCAGCUUAGUUAGUAUUUACCAGUCUUCAUUUUUGUAAUGAGUUACAAAGCGGAGAUGAAUUUUCCAGAACUGCUGGUCUACUGUUAUCCUAAACAGUACUUUUCCUUCCAGUUAUUUUCUCCCCUAAGACAGUCAGCUAUCCUAGGUUUACCUAAGAAUUAAAACAAA